UUAUUUUUUUUAUAAACGUUAUUUUGUAAACGUGACCAUUAAACAUACUCUGCAAAAUGGCAGAAUUGGAGUCAAUGUUUUUACUACAUUAUAGAGGUAUAUAAUUACACUUGUACAUUCAGUUUUAAACAACCCCCUUAAAUCAUACACACAAGGUACUCCUCCAUAAUAAAAUUAUGACAGGUAAAAUAUGUCAACGAAAAGGACAGAAUUGAAGAAUCACUUUUGUAGAUACCAUUGCAGAAAUAAAUGACAUUCUCAGGUAAAUCUUGUUAAUGGAUUUGCGAGUGGAAGAUAGGCUAAUAUCACUAACACAGUCAGAAGUACUCUGCUUUUGAAAGGAUCAUCCUUGCAGCAGCCAAGCUGUCAACUGAAACAUCCUUAAAGGAACACUAUAGGGUCAGGAACACAAACAUGUAUUCCUGAUCCUAUAGUGUUAAACCAUUUAGGUGGCUUGCCCCUCUCUCAGCCCCUUUAAAAGGAAUUAAAACUCUCCUUAUUUCCAGCGUUGCGCAGGUCUGCCGGUGCUGGCCCCGCCUCCUUGAUGACAUCAGAAUUGCCAAUAUUUAGCCAAUCCAAUGUUAUCCCAUAGGAUUGGCUAAAAUCAGCAAGGAAGCGGGAUAGGGGCAAACAGUUUUGGCCAAUCGGCACUUCAUAAAAAUACGUUGAAUAAAUGCAUAUCUAUGUGGAAAAUUCAGCAUCCCCAUGCAGAACGUGGAGAUGCUAAACGGCAGUGCUGCUUACUAUGUGGCACUGCCCCGGAAGCAUCGCUCGUGGCCAUCAGAGGAGUCCCUAGGGGGCAAUGUAAACACUGCCUUUUCUCUGAAAAGGCAGUGUUUGCAUGAAAAUGCCUGAAGGCAUUAAUCUGUAGUUGUUCUGGUGAUUAGUGUCCCUUUACGGUUUUUACUACACGAUCUUUGUUUUCUAGGAUGUUCCCUGAAUAUGGGAGUUCCCAAUAAGAUAGCACCAUCUGUUCUCUCUCAAAGAACCAGCUCCUGUUUGGCCAAUAUGGUACAAAUGUCAAGAUUCUUGUAUUGUCUGACCUGAUCUUCUGCACAAUCUGAGUGAUCAAUGCCACUGGAGGGAAAAUGUAUGCUAUCUUGAACCGCCCAAGCCCUGAUCUGGGAACACAGCAUUUAAAGGGGUUUAGGUUAGUAAAGACAUUGUCUGAUUGAAUCCUUACAGACUUCUUUGUGAACAAUGGUCUGAAAGCUAAGGGCGUUCCAAACCGCCUUCAUUUCAUGAAAUUUGAGGAUUGGGCAGCUUCUUUUACAGACCAUUUUAUCUAAUGCACAUGGGACCCCAGGUGAGCACCCCAGCCUGUUAUGGAGGCAUCCGUAGUGAUGGUAAUCCAAUUUCUUUGUUUGAAUGACAGACCUGUUUAAGAAUUCUGACUUCUUCCACCAAUUCAGAUGAUUUCUCAACAUGGCUGAAAUGCAAAAUACUGCAUCUAGAUCUUACUCUCUUUUUGACUAUAUGGAAAGAUGUUCCACUGUAGAGGUCGGAUUUCUGCCCUUGCCCAUUUUACCACCAGAAUAGUAGAAGGCCUAAAAACACUCAUUGACUUCCUUAUGGAACAAUGAUUUCUCUUUUGGAGCAUAGAAGUUUUUCUUUAUUCUUUGCUUUUCUAACUGCAAACAGCCAGGGAUCUGCAAUCCACUAAAAGAUCUAGAAACAACUGAUGAUCCAACUACGGUCCUGUAGGAUUGAAUGGCCACUUGAAGGUUCAUACACAGAUGCUGCUCUAAGUAUACCUUGAGGAACCAAUCGUCCAGAUAAGGUAUGAUAGCAAUGCCUUUAACCUUAGAGCAGAUGCCAAUGGAAGAAGUUUUGUGAAUACACUUAGGGCUGAUGCCAAACUCAAGGGUAAGGCCUUAAACUGAAAACGUAGCAGUUUUAUUUUUCUUGAUUUAAUCUUCUGUAUUUUCUUGAAACCGCC
rnacentral:lncRNA from 1 species